rnacentral:rRNA from 1 species
UGGGGAAUAUUGCACAAUGGGCGCAAGCCUGAUGCAGCCAUGCCGCGUGUAUGAAGAAGGCCUUCGGGUUGUAAAGUACUUUCAGUCGGGAGGAAGGUGGUAAGGUUAAUAACCUUAUCAAUUGACGUUACCGACAGAAGAAGCACCGGCUAACUCCGUGUCAGCAGCCGCGGUAAUACGGAGGGUGCAAGCGUUAAUCGGAAUUACUGGGCGUAAAGCGCACGCAGGCGGUUGAUUGAGUCAGAUGUGAAAUCCCCGGGCUUAACCCGGGAAUUGCAUCUGAUACUGGUCAGCUAGAGUCUUGUAGAGGGGGGUAGAAUUCCAUGUGUAGCGGUGAAAUGCGUAGAGAUGUGGAGGAAUACCGGUGGCGAAGGCGGCCCCCUGGACAAAGACUGACGCUCAGGUGCGAAAGCGUGGGGAGCAAACAGG